rnacentral:rRNA from 1 species
UGGGGAAUAUUGGACAAUGGGCGAAAGCCUGAUCCAGCCAUGCCGCGUGUGUGAAGAAGGCCUUUUGGUUGUAAAGCACUUUAAGUGGGGAGGAAGAGCUUAUGGUUAAUACCCAUAAGCCCUGACGUUACCCACAGAAUAAGCACCGGCUAACUCUGUGCCAGCAGCCGCGGUAAUACAGAGGGUGCAAGCGUUAAUCGGAAUUACUGGGCGUAAAGCGCGCGUAGGUGGUUAUUUAAGUCAGAUGUGAAAGCCCCGGGCUUAACCUGGGAACUGCAUCUGAUACUGGAUAACUAGAGUAGGUGAGAGGGGAGUAGAAUUCCAGGUGUAGCGGUGAAAUGCGUAGAGAUCUGGAGGAAUACCGAUGGCGAAGGCAGCUCCCUGGCAUCAUACUGACACUGAGGUGCGAAAGCGUGGGUAGCAAACAGGAUUAGAUACCCUGGUAGUCCACGCCGUAAACGAUGUCUACCAGUCGUUGGGUCUUUUAAAGACUUAGUGACGCAGUUAACGCAAUAAGUAGACCGCCUGGGGAGUACGGCCGCAAGGUUA